rnacentral:lncRNA from 1 species
CUUGGGAUGAAACUGUCGGUGGACCCAAUUGAAGAUCUGGAGAAAAAGUAAAGAGAAAGAGUUACAAGAAGGAUCAUAAUUGGGUACAGUAAGUGCGAGGGAUGGAAGUGAGAUUGUAGUGAUGAGCGAGUACCUUCAUGCUUGGAGCAAGGCCUGGAAGUCUGCCAAGAGAUGCAAAUGUGCACGUGAGAGAGAACAGAGAGAGAGAGAGAGAGAGAGAGAGAGAGAGAAUGAGUGGGAAGAGUGAGGGAGAGGAACUAAAAACGAUGGAGGGCCAAGUGGGUGGAAGACGUAGAGGGAGACACGUGUAAGGCGUGGGGGGGCUACAGUGAAGGACAUGUUUCAGGGCUGCAUGGCAUGUUUGAAUUAGCUAAUGAACCAUUCCGUUG